UACGUAGGGUGCGAGCGUUGUCCGGAAUUAUUGGGCGUAAAGGGCUCGUAGGCGGCCAACUAAGUCCGACGUGAAAUCCCCAGGCUUAACCUGGGAACUGCGUCGGAUACUGGAUGGCUUGAAUCCGGGAGAGGGAUGCGGAAUUCCAGGUGUAGCGGUGAAAUGCGUAGAUAUCUGGAGGAACACCGGUGGCGAAGGCGGCAUCCUGGACCGGCAUUGACGCUGAGAAGCGAAAGCCAGGGGAGCAAACGGG
rnacentral:rRNA from 1 species